GGCCAGUUAGCUCAGUCAGUUGAGUGUGCUGCUAACAACUCCAAGGUCGUGGGUUCGAUUCCCAUUCGGUCCC
rnacentral:tRNA from 1 species